rnacentral:misc_RNA from 1 species
AAUCUGUACAAAAUUGUUCCUUCAAUACAUAUCUACUCAUCGAUCCCUGAACGGUAGCAUUACCGGAGAAUAAAAAAGUUCGAAUUUUUCUCAGUUUGGUCGCUCCAAUUUCAAACAUUUGCUUACUGAAAUGAAAGGGGCAGAUUUUAAAUGGUACGAUGGGUUCUUCCUGUCAAUGUUAGCAACCAGUAUAAUCAUUGUGGCGAUAAAUUGG